GAUGAACGCUGGCGGCGUGCCUAAUACAUGCAAGUCGAGCGAACAGACGAGGAGCUUGCUCCUCUGACGUUAGCGGCGGACGGGUGAGUAACACGUGGAUAACCUACCUAUAAGACUGGGAUAACUUCGGGAAACCGGAGCUAAUACCGGAUAAUAUAUUGAACCGCAUGGUUCAAUAGUGGAAGACGGUUUUGCUGUCACUUAUAGAUGGAUCCGCGCCGCAUUAGCUAGUUGGUAAGGUAACGGCUUACCAAGGCGACGAUGCGUAGCCGACCUGAGAGGGUGAUCGGCCACACUGGAACUGAGACACGGUCCAGACUCCUACGGGAGGCAGCAGUAGGGAAUCUCCCGCAAAGGGCGAAAGCCUGACGGAGCAACGCCGCGUGAGUGAUGAAGGUCUUCGGAUCGUAAAACUCUGUUAUUAGGGAAGAACAAAUGUGUAAGUAACUAUGCACGUCUUGACGGUACCUAAUCAGAAAGCCACGGCUAACUACGUG
rnacentral:rRNA from 1 species